rnacentral:misc_RNA from 1 species
CCGAGUGAGGGCCCUCUGGGUCCAACCUCCCACCCGUGUUUAAUCGUACCUUGUUGCUUCGGCGGGCCCGCCUCACGGCCGCCGGGGGGCUUGCCCCCCUGGCCCGCGCCCGCCGAAGACACCAAUGAACGCUGUCUGAAGCUUGCAGUCUGAGCAGAUUUAGUAAAAUCGUUA